GCUUAACAUUUUCAUAUUUCACCCAAUUACUCUUCCCCCCAAAACUAGGGCUAUUCCAGUGCCUCCCAUCUCAGACUACACUUCACAUUUUGCAAAGCUAGGAUUACUCCUGUCUCAGACCACCGUCCACCGUCGACCAUCUAUUGUCGUUUAUUUCUCUCCACCACCGUUUGUUUGUUGGCUUCCUUGCUGUGACGCUCGCCCCUCGACACACUCGACCAUCACUUGUUUGUUGUUGUCCAAAAUAUCAGUAUCAAUUUCACGAUUUGGAACCCUAGCACUUGUACCAGCGGCUCGCAUCUCGACAUGUACCAGUGCCUCCUACUCAGAGCACAGACCUUGGUCUAUCGUUUGUCUUCUGGCCAAAACAUCAGGCAUUUAAAGAAAGAGAUCCUUCAUGCUUGUCUUAUUGCUCGGCUCUUUUAUACCUAAAGGUAUUUCAAUUAGAAUAUAACUUCUUUUAUGUAUAUGUAUAUCUCUAUAGAUUUGUAUUUCAUGAAAAUUGUUACCAAAUUCUUUUUCUUCGUCAUUGGCUUCUAGAACUUUCUUUGACGUGAACUGCUAAAUUAAAUGGCAGUUAUUGAGUUUAUAAUACUUUUGUAUGGUUACCAUUCUUUACAAACACAUUGAGUAGCGCAUGCAUUGUGGAACCAAGGACGCAAGGUGUUGGCUCUUGCACUACAAAGUCGAGUUAGCGAGGUAUUUGGAGUCGAUAUACAUCCAGGUAUUGUUUCAAAAAUGAUUUCCUAACAUAAAUACUAUAUUUUUAUUGGAUUUUACCAAUAACUGUUUUUCUUGUGUGUUCACAACUGCCAAAAUCGGGGAGGGGAUAUUAUUGGAUCAUGGAACGGGCUUGGUUAUUGGAAAAACUGCCGUUAUUGGGGAUAGAGUUUCACUAAUGCAGGUAUAACCUUGGGGGGAAUUGGGAAUAUUAAAAUUGGUGAAGGUGCAAGGAUUGCUUCCGGUUCCCUUGUUAUUAAGGAUGUUACAAAUUUCUGGGCACGUGUGAUUGAACAACUUUUUAGGCUCAAGUUAUGCGAACCCGAAUGGUUGAUUUUGAAGCUCGGGUUGAAGAAGAAAGGAAUCUACUUGCAUCUCGUCUUGAAGAAGAAAAGAAUCUACUUGCAACUCGUCUUGACGAAGAAAGGAAGCAAGGGAAGAACUACAAAAACAACUUCAAGAAUUUACGAUAAAUUGGCGUGCUCCCUCUAGUUAGUUGUAGUUUUUUAUAUCUUUUUGGAAUUACAUUGAAUUGUAUUAGCUUACGGUUUAAACGUAUUGGAUCUUGCGUUGUGACGCAUGAUUUUUGAAUUUAUGUCAUAACUUUGGUGAAUUU